UACGGAGGGGGCUAGCGUUGUUCGGAAUUACUGGGCGUAAGGCGCACGUAGGCGGCUUUGUAAGUUAGAGGUGAAAGCCCGGGGCUCAACUCCGGAAUUGCCUUUAAGACUGCAUCGCUAGAAUUGUGGAGAGGUAAGUGGAAUUCCGAGUGUAGAGGUGAAAUUCGUAGAUAUUCGGAAGAACACCAGUGGCGAAGGCGACUUACUGGACACAUAUUGACGCUGAGGUGCGAAAGCGUGGGGGGCAAACAGG
rnacentral:rRNA from 1 species